CUAAAUGUCUGUGUAGUCUGGGCUUGUCAGAUGCUGAAGGAUAGUGGUCAUAAUGCUGUUAUCCCCCAUUGACUCUAAUGGUUGACAUGCUCCAUUCCCUCCCUUUCACAGCCUCUACCUUACCACCAAGAGAGUGGAGGACAUCGCCCUGAGGCUCGUCUCCCUGCGCCAGGCCUUCACUACCCUGCUUGGUUCCACCCUGAGCAGGAACCAUCUGUUUGUGGCGGGAAAGGUCCUCCUGGGCGCACUGGUUCAGGCCAACCACAUGGACGAGGCCAAGUUCAUCCGUACCUAUAAUGACUUUGUGGACUACCUGAGUGACCCCUCCAAGCGGAAUGACAUUGAGAGGGAGCUGGCUGAGGCAAAGAUCCAUCAUGUGAACAUGAUAGAUGUCCUCUUUGAGCUGGUGCUGUUUGGGUUGAUGACAGCUCAGAAGUCCCUGAUGGUGG